GACGAACGCUGGCGGCGUGCUUAACACAUGCAAGUCGAACGAAGUGGCGAACGGGUGAGUAACGAGUAAUCAACAUGCCCUUCAAAGGGGGACAACAGUUGGAAACGACGGCUAAUACCGCAUACUGAAGGAGGGGAUUGCGUCUGAUUAGCUAGUUGGAGGGGUAACGGCCCAACAAGGCGAUGAUCAGUAGCCUGUCUGAGAGGAUGAACGGCCACAUUGGGACUGAGACACGGCCCAGACUCCUACGGGAGGCAGCAGUGGGGAAUCGUCCGCAAUGGACGAAAGUCUGACGGAGCAACGCCGCGUGAGUGAUGACGGCCUUCGGGUUGUAAAGCUCUGUUAAUCGGGACGCGGUACCGGAAUAGAAAGCCACGGCUAACUACGUGCCAGCAGCCGCGGUAAUAC
rnacentral:rRNA from 1 species